rnacentral:misc_RNA from 1 species
UUAAACUACACAAGAGAAUGGUUCUUGCUAAGCUUGUUUCCUUCUUCAUUCUUCUUCUUCUUCUUUGUCUGUUUGGAUAUGGGAAUUCUGUUGGAAAGUUGUGCGUCGAUGAAGUGACUGCCCUUAACGCGGUGAUAUAUAAAUUGGGGUUGGUGCCGGCAUCAACCAUUUCAAUCUAUUAUUGUGCGCAGUAUUCUGGUCGCCGUGGUUUCAGUAUUUACAUUGAAUGCAACUGCAACGAAACAACUUGUCACAUCACACGAAUAAGGACGGACAGCAUAGAUUUGAGUGGUGGAGGUAUCCAUGAAAGUAUAUCUAAACUCAAGCACCUGAAGUGGCUAGAUCUUGGAAGCAAUCAAUUGUCUGGUUCCAUACCAGCUGCCAUAGGAGACUUGCCACAUCUAGAAACACUCAAUUUGUACAAGAACUUACUCACAGGCCCAAUACCUCCAUCUUUAGGGAAAUUGUCAUCCCUCAAAGAGCUUAAAUUGUACAGGAACAUGCUGUCAAAUGAAAUCCCUAAACAAUUGAGCAACCUCUCUAAGCUGGAGACAUUGAGAUUGGAACAAAAUCAGCUCAGCGGUCAUAUUCCACCGGAGCUUGGAAAAUUAUUAAGCCUUAAGCAACUGAGAUUGGAUGAGAAUCAA